AAUAGAUACCCAGGUAGUCCACGCCUAAACUACUGUCAACUAGUUGUCGGGAAGAAAUUCCUUGGUAACGGCAGCUAACGCGUGAAGUUGACCGCCUGGGGAGUACGGCCGCAAGGUUAAAACUCAAAGGAAUUGACGGGGACCCGCACAAGCGGUGGAUUAUGUGGAUUAAUUCGAUGCAACGCGAAAAACCUUACCUACCCUUGACAUGUACGGAAUUCCGCAGAGAUGUGGAAGUGCCCGAAAGGGAACCGUAACACAGGUGCUGCAUGGCUGUCGUCAGCUCGUGUCGUGAGAUGUUGGGUUAAGUCCCGCAACGAGCGCAACCCUUGCCAUUAGUUGCUACAUUCAGUUGGGCACUCUAAUGGGACCGCCGGUGACAAACCGGAGGAAGGUGGGGAUGACGUCAAGUCCUCAUGGCCCUUAUGGGUAGGGCUUCACACGUAAUACAAUGGUCGGUACAGAAGGCUGCCAACCCGCAAGGGGGAGCUAAUCCCAGAAAGCCGAUCGUAGUCCGGAUUGUAGUCUGCAACUCGACUGCAUGAAGCCGG
rnacentral:rRNA from 1 species